GAUGUUUCAGUAGGAGUUGUUGUGAUUGUGGAAGUCUCAGUUGAUGUAGAUGUUUCUGCUGCACUAGUUGUGGAUGUUUCCGGUGCAGUUGUUGUGAUUGUGGAAGUCUCAGUUGUUGAAGAUGUUUCUGCUGCACUUGUGGUGGAUGUUUCAGGAGUAGUCGUUGUGAUUGUGGAUGUCUCUGUCGUUGUAGAUGUUUCUGCUGAAUUGGUGGUAGAUGUUUCUGGGGCAGUUGAUGUGACUGUGGAAGUCUCUGUUGUUGUAGAUGUUUCUGUUGCAUUAGUGGUGGAUGUUUCAGUAGGAGUUGUUGUAAUUGUGGAAGUCUCAGUUGAUGUAGAUGUUUCGGAUGCACUAGUGGUGGAUGUUUCAGGAGCAGUUGUUGUGAUUGUGGAUGUCUCUGUUGUUGUAGAUAUUUCUGCUGCACUAGUGGUGGAUGUUUCAGGAGCAGUUGUUGUGACUGUGGAAGUCUCUGUUGUUGUAGAUGUUUCUGUUGCAUUAGUGGUGGAUGUUUCUGGUGCAGUUGUUGUGAUUGUGGAAGUCUCAGUUGUUGCAGAUGUUUUCGGUGCAGUUGUUGUAAUUGUGGAGGUCUCCGUUGAUGUAGAUGUUUCUGCUGCACUAGUGGUGGAUGUUUCAGGAGCAGUCGUUGUGAUUGUGGAAGUCUCCGUUGUUGUAGAUGUUUCUACUGCACUAGUGGUGGAUGGUUCAGGAGCAGUCGUUGUGAUUGUGGAGGUCUCUGUCGUAGUAGAUGUUUCUGCUGCACUGGUGGUGGAUGUUUCCGGUUCAGUCGUUGUGAUUGUGGAUGUCUCAGUGGUUGUAGAUGUUUCUGCCGCAUUAGUGGUAGAUGUUUCCGGUGGAGUCGUUGUGAUUGUGGAGGUCUCUGUUGUUAUAGAUGUUACUGCUGCACUAGUAGUGGAUGUUUCUGGUGCAGUCAUUGUGACUGUGGAAGUCUCUGUUGUUGUAGAUGUUUCUGGUGCACUAGAGGUGGAUGUUUCAGGAGCAGUUGAUGUGAUUGUGGAGGUCUCUGUUGUGGUAGAUGUUUCUGGUGCAGUCAUUGUGACUGUGGAAGUCUCUGUUGUUGUAGAUGUUUCUACUGCAGUAGUGGUUGAUUUUUCAGGAGCUGUCAUUGUGAUUGUGAAAGUCUCUGUUGUUGUUGAUGUUUC
ensembl:lncRNA